AUUGAACGCUGGCGGCGUGCCUAACACAUGCAAGUCGAGCGGUAACAGGUGUAGCAAUACAUGCUGACGAGCGGCGAACGGGUGAGUAAUGCUUCGGAAUCUGCCCAUGUAGUGGGAAUAACCAGCCGAAAGGUUGGCUAAUACCGCAUACGACCCUUGCCCACAAGGCAAAGGUGAAAGCAGGGGAUCGCAAGACCUUGCGCUAUUGGAUGAGCCGAAGUCGGAUUAGCUAGUUGGUAGGUAACGGCCUACCAAGGCGACAAUCCGUAGCUGGUCUGAGAGGACGACC
rnacentral:rRNA from 1 species